GGCAACGCAUCAGAUAUUCACACAUCAAUAAUAUUGCUGGGGUCAUGACAACAUGACGUAAGUCAGAGCAUGGAAAAAUCAUUGACCACAACCUCAAGAGACACAAUGUUUUCAUGGAAGGCCAACAACCAUUCUCUGAAUUCUUAAGAGAUUCACAAAAUUGUGUUCGAGUAUGCAAGAUCCGCUGACGAGCACAUAUUGCAGAAAAGUAUGGAAUCUCCAUGCUCAUCUCUAUCAGUGGCUUAACCAGAAAAUUUAACAACUCAAAGUU
rnacentral:misc_RNA from 1 species